rnacentral:rRNA from 1 species
UACAGAGGUCUCAAGCGUUGUUCGGAUUCACUGGGCGUAAAGGGUGCGUAGGUGGCUUGGUAAGUUUGAUGUGAAAUCUCCGGGCUUAACCCGGAAAUGGCAUUGAAUACUAUUGAGCUGGAGGUUUGGAGGGGGGUGGAAUUCCGCGUGUAGCAGUGAAAUGCGUAGAGAUGCGGAGGAACACCGAUGGCGAAGGCAGCCCCCUGGGCUAACACUGACGCUCAGGCACGAAAGCGUGGGGAGCAAACAGG